ACUUCUUUGAAAAGUAAUUUCACGCAGUAUUUUAUAGGCGUAGAACAUGGUUCCUGCAAAUACAGCUCGAUGCAGAGACCAUCCGUUGUUUAUGGAAAAUGUGACCUCUGGUGGCUGUAACGGCAUUGAGUCACACCUCAGCAGUACCUCUUUUGCCGGGAAACGGAGGACUGUCUGCAAUUUCCCAACAAGUGCGCUGCCCGGAUGAGAGGCGAAGGCUCACUUCCACGACACUGCGCUUGUCCGGGCCUGGUUCGGUUCUCGGGGAUUCAAGGGAGACAGAGUUGUGAGUUUCCCAGUCUGUCUUGAGCUUCAGCUGCCGCCUGGGACCUGGGCAGUGUGUUGUACUGUCCCUUCCAGAAAGGGUUCAGUUCAUCAGAGGCUGGACCUUCCUGCUGCCACAGACAGGCCUUAGAACUUCAGCUUGGAGUGACUGAAGCAACACAGAACCCCUGGACAGGCUGGGCCGGGCAACAACACAGGCCCUGUGAGUGAGCAGAGCGGUCGGGCAGGUAAGAACAGGUGAAUGAACAUAGCCACUGGACAACCACGGGCUCUGAGCACCCGCACUUAGGCCCCCAAAAUUUGAGGGCAGGAAGAACUUUUGACCACUCCGGAAAGUAUUCAAGUGAUAAUUUGUUGGCAUUUAUGUUUAUCUUCUGGUUUUCUAAACAUAAAUUUCACAGUCUCCAUGUUUCUCUCUGCCUAGAGUGCCACAGGUUUUUGUCUAGCCCUAGAAGUUUGGGGUAGAGAAAAAUCAGGGGUUUUGUCCAAAGGGGGGUUGGGGUCCCUUCCAAAACAUAAAGAAGUUAAGGUGUAGAGUCAAAAUUGGGGGAGGGGAAGAGGAGAAAGUGGGGGGCCUCAGAAGGACAGAUACUCUCAGGUGAACAGGUGGGAGGUGGUCUGAAGACAUUCUAGAAACUUCAGACAGGUUUCUGCACUUGUGGAGUUUAUAGGAGAGAGAAGGCCAAAGGUCAAAAGGGAGCCAAGAGUGAGGUAGGUGGUGGCCGGAGUGGCUGGGGCUCGACUCAGUGAGUGAGUUCUCCGGUGAGUGUUUGGGCAGCCAGUCAGGGGCGGUCAUUGCAGCCGGAGCAGAAUGUUUGGAAAACCGUAGAAACCGUCCCAUCUGGAGCCACAUAAUGUUUAUGCUGCUGUCCAUUUGCAUUCCGCCUGUAUCGGAGGCUGGGGACCUGAGGACCCCUCCAGCGCACAAAGCCACAGCGGACAGUGCUGCUGGCCUUACCAACAUGUUGGGCGCAGACUAAUGAGAACGUGCUACAGAAACUCCAGGUGAGUCAGUGAAUGAAACCAGAAGUGAUAAACGGCUCCUGGGCAGAGAGCCCAAGACAGCCUUUCUGUCCACUUCCAGCCCUGCGUUGAUUAGCUCAGUAAAGACAGCAUCUGGGGCUUUUUCCUUUCUACCUGUGAUGGCUGUGAAUGGGGGGGGGGGGCUCCAUUUCCCUUCAGAGGCCUCUCGCCUUGGCCGGUCUCCCGUGCAUCCAUCCAUCACUCCCAGCUUUCAAAGGCUGCUUCCUGCUCUAUCUCUUCCCUCCCACUUGAGACGCAGGCAAAGCCCAGACCUCGCCUGUCUCCUCUCUGUCGUAAAGCACCACUAACACAAAGCAGUUGUACAUAACAGACUUUUCCGAAGAUGUUGUGGCUAAUGAGAACAGACAGAGCUAUUAUUGCCGAGAGCAGGAAAUAAUUCCACGUUUAACAUCAGAUGUUAUUGUUCCUAGAAAUGCGUUGGCUAGUCCUUCUGUGGAGAAUCUCUGCCUGCUUGUGUCCCUCCUUGGCAUCCCCAGGGCACUGUGAAGCCAAGGUUGUCUAAAAAGAGAUCAAAAAAUAUCCCAUCUGUCUAUAUGGAUGGAGCUACUAUUUAUCAGGAGCCGAAGACUGUACUAACCACUUACAAUACCUCACUUAAUGUUCUCUGUGCAGUUCCCCGUGGGAGACGUUUCUUUGUCUUCAGGGACCUGAGGCUCAGGAACUGAGGCGGAGCUGGGAUCUGAACCCUGUUCCUGCUGCUCCAAGCCCUUGUUUCUAAUUGCUAUGCCGCUGCCCUGUAAUCUCCGGAUAGUCAGGAUUCAGAGCUCUUGCUUACCCCUUAACUCAGCAAAGUUUCCUGUGGAGUCAGGCAAAAAUGCCCCUAACAUUUUCUCCCAUGCAAUUGAAUCCUUUGCUCUGGCAAAUCCCCACCCCCACGCCCACCCCGAGAGACUUUCACAUGGGCUCUGAUCUUCCCAGAGGCGUCGGUCUCACUGACUCUCCAGAUAACAUUUCACUGUCUCUGUCCCUUCUCUCCUUUCUCCUGCUCUGUCAGCUGCCUAAGGAAAGAGCCUUCUUUCACACUAGGAGCUGGAAUCUGUUUGUUCCACUCCCUUUUUGAAGCAGAUGAACCCAUAAAGCAACAACAGGCCAUUUGACCCCACACUGAAUCUCUCAGGUACGCUAAAGCUGUCUGGAGCCAGGAAAUAUCUGUCUACGGAAACUAAUCCUGGUUACAUGACAACGCAAAUGUCCCGGACUUCACAUCAGCCGUUGCUAUGGCGUCUGUGUUUUAGGACGGUACUUCCUGAGGAUUAGAGCGCUGUUUCUGAUGAGUUCUGCCUGUCUCUUCAGACGUCCAGGGAGCCAUAGGAACCAUGAGUGAUGAGAUCAGAGGGCCAUCCUGAGCCCACCCCACUCUUUGAUGGCCCUGGGGAAGCCGGCCCUGUCCCUCACUGGACAUUGCAGCAAGAGAGCUGGCCCUGACCCUCACUGGAGAGCUGGACCCCCCACUCUCAAGAGGGAUGGCCCUGCCCCUCACCAUGGGCAGGGGAGAACCGACCCUGAAGACAUUAUGGGAGCUGGCUCUGCCCCUUGCCUGAGGGAGAUAGCCCCAGUGGCCCGGAUUGGCCAGCUCAGCUAUUAUUCAGUCCCACAGCUGGGUCUUGGGUUGGUCCACCCUAACAUCUACCCCAACUAGGAGCUGCUGGUUCUGUGGAACCAUACCCGCAGGAUCUCCAUGAAUUGGGGCAGCCAAGAUAUCCGAGAGGAGUUUCAGUGAGGAUCCCGGAAUGAUGGUGUAUCAGAAACCAGAGGCCUUGAACCAAACCAAUGCCAGGAUACCUUUCCAUUGAAGCUGUAAUGCUUAUAAAAGGUAUCUCUGUCCCCUAGAAACUUGCAACUGUUAUUUAAAUACGUGCUUUGGGUAGGAGAGUUGUCUCAGAGGAUAAAAGUGCUUGCCAUCCACUCAUGAUCUGAAUUCCAUGCCCAGAUUCUGCAUGGUAGGAGAGAGCCAACUCCCAAAAGUUGACCUCUGGCUUCCAGACGUGCACAGUGUACACACACACACACACACACACACACACACACACACACACACACACACACACAUUAUCCUAUACAGAUAAAUGUAAAAAAUAAACACAGUCGAUGGGCUGGAGAGUUGAUUCAGUAGGUGGAGUUCUUGCUGUGCAAGCUUGAGGACCUGAGUUUGAUCCCGAAGGCUCUCUCUGGCCUCCACACACACACAGGCAAAAGCACAGACGAACACAUACACACAACACAAGCAAAGGGAAGGAAGAACUGCAAGUGAUCCGGAAGCAGAUUUAAAAUUUGCUAGAAAUCCAGGAAAUGAAACACGUUGACUGAGAGUCCGUGUUCACCUGUGGGACUCAUGAACGUUUCUCCAUCAUUCAGGAAAGCGUGCAUUUUUAAUGUCCCUAGAAGGGUGUAAAGUGGUGUGACUUCUCAAAAAGGACAUCUGGCAACAGGAAGUAAAAUCCUCAGAAGGCUCAUAACUUUCUCUACUGGAAUUUUCAUAAUUAAGAAAUAAACAUUAUACUUUAUAAUAGGCAAAACCUGGAAACUAUCCAAACGUUCGGUGAUACAGCAUUGACUUGAGUUAUUGAAUAUUCAUUAGUAAAAUGUGUGCAGAAAUUAAACACCAUGUUUUCAAAAAACAAAUUUCACAAUGUUCACACCAUAUUGUUGAAUAAAAAGCAGAUGACUAUA